CACGGGCUCGCUCACUGAUUCAGAUGCUCGCUGAAGUAGUUAGCUACAGAAGAGGACAUCUGUCAGUCACAUUGAUUCACAUCUGGCUACAGACUGAUCGUGAUCGACGUGGGACCAUAUCCUAUGAGUACAGAGCUGAUGGAAAACAUGAAGAACAGGACACAGGAGGGCAACAACGGGAACACCGGGAAAUCACAGGUGCAUCAACUGGAGCAGAUGAAGAGACGGCCAUGACCUUGGCGACAGAACCUGAGCCACGUCCCAGGCUGCUGUAGGCUGAAGCAGGACGGGAUAGUGCCCCCUGGUGGUGGUCCCAGUGUUACCCGGCUGUGCAACAGAGCCCCCGUCGAACCUGUCGACGAGUCUGUGGGCAGGAGACUGACGGAUGGAGCUGUGAGCGUGCUGGUUGUGUGGAGAUACUUCGA